GUCAUUGCAUAGUAUAUACAUACAAAUACAUCAACUUUCAUGCCAAAUGGAGAGCAAGGGGAGAUCUAUAAGUUGGUCACAUAAUUCCAGAGUCACAUUAGAGUCGUAUACAAAUUUUCCAUCCUUAAGUCUUUAGGUGUGACCUGGACAUUCUAUCAUUCAGGGAAAACCAUAAUCACCAUAUUCACUUUAUAAGUUUUCUAGCCAAAAAGUGCUAUAGUCUUUAG